AGCUUUGCGCAGUGGCAGUAUCGUAGCCAAUGAGGUUUAUCCGAGGCCCGAUUAUUGCUAAUUGAAAAAUCUCUACAUAUCAAUUCGGUAUGAAACAGUCCUUACUCUCAAUAUUCUUCGAAGAG
rnacentral:snRNA from 1 species